rnacentral:misc_RNA from 1 species
UUAAAGACGGUCACUCUACAAAAAACUAAGAAGGCAACGGCGGCAGCAAAAGCAAUUUGCAAUAGAAAAAAUAAAAAUAUAAAACACGUCGGAGAGAGUGGUGCUUGGCUGACGGACCAGGGCGUGUGACAGCGAGUGCAAGUGAUAAAUUCAUUGACAGCCGCAGACACCGAGAAAUACAAUCACAAUGAGCGCACCUGGCAUGGAUAAGAGGAAACUCUCCACAUCUGGCGAUUCACUUUACGAGAUCCUGGGACUUCCUAAAACAGCCACCGGAGACGACAUCAAAAAGACAUACCGAAAACUCGCACUUAAAUACCACCCUGACAAGAACCCCGACAACGUUGAUGCUGCCGAAAAGUUCAAGGAGGUGAACCGAGCGCAUUCGAUAUUGAGCGAUCAGACAAAGCGUAACAUUUACGACAACUAUGGAUCCCUUGGCCUGUACAUAGCCGAGCAGUUUGGCGAGGAGAACGUCAAUGCGUACUUCGUGGUAACGUCACCGGCAGUGAAGGCAUUGUUCUUCUGCUGUGCCAUAGUUACUGGAUGCUGCUGUUGUUGUUGCUGCUGCUGCUGCUGCAACUUCUGUUGUGGCAAGUUCAAGCCGCCGGUAAACGAGUCGCACGACCAGUAUGCACAUCUGAAUCGCUCCGAUGGCCAUCGAGAGGCCAGCGAUCUGCCACCACCCCUGGGACAAAAGCCACGUCUUGAGGACGUUGAUCUGGACGACGUGAAUCUUGGAUCGGGAGGCGCCCCUGUUACAUCACAGCCGCGGGAGCAGGCCGGCGGACAGCCUGUCUUCGCCAUGCCGCCUCCAAGUGGAGCAGCCGUGGGUGUCAACCCCUUCACCGGCGCCCCUGUGGCGGCCAACGAGAACACAUCGCUAAACACCACGGAGCAGACCACCUACACACCAGGUCUGCAGCAGCCGUUUUUCAAUCCGCUCUAUUGAGGGCCAUCUGAAAACUAAUAUCGAAGUGUUCCCUAGUUUUAGUUGCAAGCUCGGUUGUACUGGACCAUGAAGCUAUUUACAUUUGAGUGCGUCAUCAAAACAUGAAGAAACACUGCCAUGAUUACAUGGUCAAUCAGAAAUAUUAGCCAAGUGCGGCGAUCGAUUCAAGUCCCAAGUGCAUGCGUAUGUAACGAUACUGAUACUGACACAGAUAUAAACAAAAAGAUUUAAGUUGCAACUGAAUGGAAAACCAGAUUAAUUUAUGAUUAGAUUUGUUUUAAGGAUGAGCGAUAUGUUGAAGCGAGAUAACAUAAAAACCAAUGUAUUUAUAGUAAGCGAUAGCUCUUAGCUUUAAUUUUAAACAGUCUUACCACGGCGCUUGCGGCAACCGAUGCAGGCGGUAGUCAGGUUGAUCUUGGGCCGCCCCUCGAUAUCGUUUCUACUAUCCCAUGGUUAAAGGCUGCUACUCAGCAAGCCGCCCAAAAUCGUGAGCCUAAGUGGGGCUUACCAAAUAUCACCAAAACCGAUCAACUGUACUAAAUACACGAUUCUGGCUCUUUUAAAUUGUUAAUCGUCGGCUGUUUCAGACAUUUGCUUGGGAAACGAUCACGGGGGUGACGUGGAUAGGACGGAGUAGUGCACGCCCUCCUGUGGAAUCGACUAUACAAGAAGCACUGUAUGUUAAUUAUCUUAUGUAUAUGAUGUCUGUACCUAGCUCGCAUUUGUGUCAUCCUCUGUCUAGUGUAGCUAAAUCAUGCGCGAAGCCUAUUUUUCACCCAUUGUUUCUGUUAGUU